rnacentral:rRNA from 1 species
GCGUGGAUUAGGCAUGCAAGUCGUGCGAGAAGUUGGUUAGCUUGCUAACCGACGGACAGCGGCGAAAGGGAGAGUAACGCGUGGUUACGUGCCCCGAAGACCGGGAUAGUGUUGGGAAACUGGCAGUAAUACCGGAUAAUAUCUUUGGAUCAAAUGGUGUGAUUCCGCUUUGGGAUCGGACCGCGUACUAUUAGCUUGUUGGCGGGGUAAUGGCCCACCAAGGCUCAGAUGGUUACCGGGUGUGAGAGCAUGGCCCGGCUCACUGGGACUGAGACACUGCCCAGACAUCUACGGAUGGCUGCAGUCGAGAAUCUUCGGCAAUGGACGAAAGUCUGACCGAGCGACGCCGCGUGCGGGAUGAAGGCCCUCGGGUUGUAAACCGCUGUCAGUUAGGAGGAAAUCUAUGAGGGCACUCUCUCAUAGUUGACCGAUUUUCA